GACGAAGGAUGCAAGCGUUAUCCGGAUUCAUUGGGUUUAAAGGGAGCGUAGGUGGACUUGUAAGUCAGUGGUGAAAUCUUUGGGCUUAACCCAGAAACUGCCAUUGAUACUGCAGGUCUAGAGUACAGUUGCCGUUGGCGGAAUAUGACAUGUAGUGGUGAAAUACUUAGAUAUGUCAUAGAACACCGAUUGCGAAGGCAGCUAACGAAGCUGUAACUGACACUGAGGCUCGAAAGUGCGGGGAUCAAACGGG
rnacentral:rRNA from 1 species